AAUUGCAAAAAUAAAAAUAGCACAAUUGAAAACAAAAUCCGGCACAAACCUAUCUAUCCUAUUACAUAUAUCCACUAUUUUAGGGUUUCCAAAUUGAAACCUCUUUUGUUUCUGCCGCAUCAGCUUCAACACACCUGAGAAAUGAGCUCCUUUCCUUUUCUGAACCUUCGAUUCUUGAUGUACCAGCUUUGGGUAAUCAAUACCCUACCUUUGUGGAGUGUUUUUGCUAGUUUUUUCAGCUAGCAUAAUUUUGGCCGGUAAGAAGAUACUGGGAUGCUUGGAGCCAUAAGUAAUUGGAUAGUAACAAUCUCCUCAGAUCUGAUUCCAAUCACCCAAUGUUGUCAUGAUUCCUAUUUUCCAGUACUGAUUCGAACUAGGUUCAGAGGCAUGAGCUCCAAAUCAGCAGUAGAUUCCAGGAUCAGCAGUCAGAGUUAGAC